UACAAAGGUCUCAAGCGUUGUUCGGAUUCAUUGGGCGUAAAGGGUGUGUAGGUGGCUCGCUAAGUCGGGUGUGAAAUUUCGGAGCUUAACUCCGAAACUGCAUUCGAUACUGGCGUGCUUGAGGACCGGAGAGGAGACUGGAAUUCAUGGUGUAGCAGUGAAAUGCGUAGAGAUCAUGAGGAAGACCAGUGGCGAAGGCGGGUCUCUGGACAGUUCCUGACACUGAGACACGAAGGCCAGGGGAGCAAACGGG
rnacentral:rRNA from 1 species